rnacentral:rRNA from 1 species
CUACGGGGUGCAGCAGUGGGGAAUAUUGGACAAUGGGGGAAACCCUGAUCCAGCAAUGCCGCGUGUGUGAAGAAGGCCUGCGGGUUGUAAAGCACUUUCGGUUGGGAGGACUGCUUCUAGCACUAAUAUUGUUGGAAGUUGACGUUACCUUCAGAAGAAGCACCGGCUAACUCCGUGCCAGCAGCCGCGGUAAUACGGAUGGUGCAAGCGUUAAUCGGAAUUACUGGGCGUAAAGCGCGCGUAGGCGGCUAGAUCAGUCGGGUGUGAAAGCCCCGGGCUUAACCUUGGAACUGCAUCCGAUACUGUCUAGCUUGAGUACAGGAGAGGAGAGUGGAAUUCCACAUGUAGCGGUGAAAUGCGUAGAUAUGUGGAGGAACACCAAUGGCGAAGGCAGCUCUCUGGCCUGAUACUGACGCUGAGGUGCGAAAGCGUGGGGAGCAAACAGGAUUAGAUACCCCCGUAGUC